AUUGAACGCUGGCGGUAGGCCUAACACAUGCAAGUCGAACGCGAAAGUCCUUCGGGAUGAGUAGAGUGGCGGACGGGUGAGUAACGCGUAGGAAUCUAUCCUGUAGUGGGGGAUAAACGUUUCGAAAGGAACGCUAAUACCGCAUACGCCCCAAGGGGGAAAGCGGGGGAUCUUCGGACCUCGUGCUAUAGGAGGAGCCUGCGUCGGAUUAGCUAGUUGGUGAGGUAAAGGCUCACCAAGGCGACGAUCCGUAGCUGGUCUGAGAGGAUGAUCCGCCACACUGGAACUGAGACACGGUCCAGACUCCUACGGGAGGCAGCAGUAGGGAAUAUUGGACAAUGGGGGCAACCCUGAUCCAGCAAUGCCGCGUGAGUGAUGAAGGCCUUAGGGUUGUAAAGCUCUUUUACCCGAGAUGAUAAUGACAGUAUCGGGAGAAUAAGCUCCGGCUAACUCCGUGCCAGAGCCGCGGUAAACAUACUCGUA
rnacentral:rRNA from 1 species